CUUUUAUCAAGAUACCAGUUAUGGAAUCACCUGUUUCACCAGACAUUUUGAUAUUUAAGGCUUAAUAUGUUUUCAAAGAACAGAAAAAGGACAUUGCCGGCUAGCUCAUCCUCAGGGCGGAGUACCCCCAUGUACCAGCAGUGUCCCAACACAGUUAUCGAUAGAAGACGACCUCUCACACUCAAACAUUUUUAACAUCACUAACGAGAUGGUAAACAAACUACCCAUCCAAUGGUGCCCCAGUGGACUUCGGGGGGCACCACCCAUGGUCGAUAGCCGGAGCCACUUCCAGGCUAUUUUAUGACCAGUUCAUCUCUCCCAAGCUAUUCUCAUCGUUAGAAACUUUUAAUGCCUACUUAAGACUGUCGCCAAAAUCACAAUAACUCGAGGGAAAUAUUAAAAUAAGGGAAAUAAUAAAAAACGAAUUAAAAGUUUGGCAAAAUGGCCAUCGUAACCUACGGAGCCAAAUUUGGGGGCUUUGGCCAACCGGGUCUCCUAUUCCUGAAGAGCUUCAGGGGAAAAGAAGGACAUGCUGAGAAGGUAUAGAUGGACGCGCGACUAAUGUCCGGACUUAGGAUUCUAAUUUCAGAUUAGUUUCACAGUCAGUUCACACAAAAAGAGUACUGGAUGGCUUUAUGAACACAAUUUUCCAAAAUAUUUGUUGUAGUGUAAAAGCUUUGUUAUAGUCGGCGUAGCAGCAAGAUGGAAGCGACUGCUUACGGCGAUAACAACAGAAAGGAGACCGCACGAAACCAAUGGGUCCGGAUAAAGAGCAGCUUUUGGCCAGUCAGACCAGGUACAGUGCGUCGGUGGCCCCAGAAACGACUCGAAACGGACUCUCCAAGGGGAUCACCGUCGUGGCUGCUGAUUUCUGGGCUGCCGCUGUUCGUGGUCGUCACUGACUGCUGAUGCAACAGCUGGUGAUGCCGAUGCUGCUGCUGCUGCAGAGACUGGUGCUUGCUGCUGAUUUGGACGAAUUGGUCCUCUGCAAGCGACUUG